CCCGCCUGCCCCCGCUCCCUCUGUCCGCCCGCCUCCGCUCCCUCCGGCCGCCUGCUUGCGCUCCCUCUGGCCGCCUCCCUCCGCUCACUCUGGCACGCCUGCCUCCGCUCUCCCUGGGCCCCCCGCCCCCCCCCCCCCUGGCGGCCGCCUCCCCCCCCCCCCCCUGGCGGCCGCCUCCCCCCCCCCCCCCCCCCCGCCCCCUCCCCCCCCCCCCCCCCCCCCCCUCCCCCCCCCCUCCCCUCCCCCUCCCCCCCCCCCCCCCCCGCCCCCCGCCCCCCCCCCCCCUGGCCGCCUCCCUCCGCUCACUCUGGCCCCCUGCCUCAGCUCACUCUGAGCCGCCUGCUUCCGCUCCCUCUGGCCGCCCGCCUCCGCCCACCCUGGGCACCUGCCCCCGCCCACUCUGGCCGCCUGCCCCCGCCCCCUCUGGCCCGCCCGCCCCCGCCCCCUCCGACCCGCCUGCCUCAGCCCACCCUGCCCCGCCUGCCUCCGCCCACCUGGCUCCGCUCACUCUGGCCUCCUGCCUCCGCUCACUCGGGCCCGCCUGCCUCCGCCCACCCUGGGCACCUGCCCCCGCCCACUCUGGCCGCCUACCUCAGCUCACUCUGGCUCCCUGCCCCACCUCACGUUGACCCCCCUGCCCCAGCCCCCCCUGACCCCCCCCCCCCCGCCCCCCGCCCUCCCCCCCCUCUCCCCCCCUUCCUCUUCUCCCCUCCCCCACCUCCCUCUGCCCGCCUACCUCUUCUCACUCUGUCUGCCUUCCUCAGCUCACUCUUACCCGCCUGCCUCCGCUCGCCGUGGCCCCCUGCCUCCGCCCACUCUGACCCGCCUGCCCCCGCUCACUCUGCCCCGCUUCCCUCCGCUCGCUCGGCCCCGCCUGCCCCCGCCGACUCUGGCCCGCCUGCCUCUGCCCACUCUGGCCCGCCUCCCCCCGCUCACUCUGGCCGCUUGCCUCCGCUCACCUGCCUCAGCCGACCCUGGCCGCCUCCCUCCUCCCGCCCUGCCCGCCUCCCUCCGCUCACCUGCCUCAGCCCACUCUGGCCGCCUACCUCCGCUCACUCUGACCGGCUGCCUCAGCCCCCCCCGACUCGCCUGCCUCAGCUCACUCUGGCCCGCCAGCCUCCGCUCCCUCUGGCCCGCCGGCCUCAGCUCACUCUGGCCCCCUGCCUCCCCUCACUCUGCCGCGCCUGCCUCCGCUCCCAUGCCUCCGCUCACUCCAAGCCGCCUCCUCCCCCUCAAUCUCCCCGCCUCCCUCCCCCCACUCUCGCCCCCUGCCCCCGCUCCCCUGCCUCCGCCCACUCUGUCCGCCUCCCUCCGCUCACUCUGACCCCCCGCCCCCACCUCCCUCUGCCCGCCUACCUCUUCUCACUCUGUCUGCCUUCCUCAGCUCACUCUGGCCUGCCUGCCUCAGCUCACUCUAGCCGCCCGCCUCCGCUCCCUCGGCCCGCCUGCCCCCGCCCACUUGCCUCCGCUCACUCCGGCCGCCCGCCUCAGCUCACUCUGACCCCCCGCCCCCACCUCCCUCUGCCCGCCUACCUCUUCUCACUCUGUCUGCCUUCCUCAGCUCACUCUGGCCGGCCUGCCUCAGCCCACUCUGGCCACCUGCCUCAGCUCACUCUAGCCGCCUGCCUCAGCACACUCCGGCCGCCUGCCUCCUCUCCCCCCGGCCGCCUCCCUCCGCUCACCUGCCUCAGCCCACUCUGGCCGCCUGCCUCAGCUCACUCUGGCCGCCUGCCUCCGCUCACUCUGGCCCGCCUGCCUCCGCUCACUCUAGCCGGCCUGCCUCAGCUCACUCUGACCGCCUGCCUCCUAUGA
ensembl:lncRNA